CGGAAGGGAUAACAUCGUGCAACGUUAAUAUCGUGGUGGAUAUAAGAAGAAAUAUAUUCCUUCCAAUCAGAGAGCAGCUACGGCCCAACUUUCGACGAAUCAGUACGUUCGGCGUCAGUCUUCUGGUGGACCUCGUGGGGAUAGGACGGAUGGAGCUAUAACUGGUUAAAAAUUGAUUGCUGAGAUAACUAAGAUGUGAUUUCAAUAUUGAUGCCACAAUCAGAUGGUGAUUUUUUUAUGACAGAGCGUUUGUUUCAGAUUUAUUAACUUCCAGGACAAAUUUAUAUUAUAACAUUUGAAGUAGUUAUAUAAAUAUAUUAUGUUAGUGACUCUUGAGUAGAAUGAUAUGAAUGAAAAAGAAUGAAGAGGGAAAGAGUAUGUAUUUACAAUUACAAAGAAAUUCCAUUGUGAAGUUUCAGCAAAGAAGUGGUGUUCUGCUAUAUAUGUAUGGUAUUCUGCUAUAUAUAAUGUCCUUUUCCCUUUCCUUGUUCUUUAUUUGAAUUAAAUUUUUAUUUAAGCAGAA